rnacentral:ribozyme from 1 species
AGUCCAACUGUUUAUCUAUCUAUCUCAGUCUAGAGAAUGUCCACCCAUUGUAUGUUUGGUGUCCCCGAUGAUUUCCUGCAUGUUAUUCUUUCAUAUUAUUAACACCCGAUAUUGUAUCCCUUUUUUUGGCACGAUGUUUUGGACACCCGGUAUUUCC